rnacentral:rRNA from 1 species
CACGUAGGGCGCAAGCGUUGUCCGGAAUUAUUGGGCGUAAAGAGCUCGUAGGCGGCCUUACAGGUCAGCUGUGAAAACUCGAGGCUCAACCUCGAGACGUCGGUUGAAACCGUAUGGCUAGAGUCCGGAAGAGGAGAGUGGAAUUCCCGGUGUAGCGGUGAAAUGCGCAGAUAUCGGGAAGAACACCCGUGGCGAAGGCGGCUCUCUGGGACGGUACUGACGCUGAGACGCGAAAGCGUGGGGAGCGAACAGG